UACAGAGGUCUCAAGCGUUGUUCGGAUUCAUUGGGCGUAAAGGGUGCGUAGGUGGCGCGGUAAGUCGGGUGUGAAAUUUCGGAGCUCAACUCCGAAACUGCAUUCGAUACUGCCGUGCUUGAGGACUGGAGAGGAGACUGGAAUUUACGGUGUAGCAGUGAAAUGCGUAGAGAUCGUAAGGAAGACCAGUGGCGAAGGCGGGUCUCUGGACAGUUCCUGACACUGAGGCACGAAGGCCAGGGGAGCAAACGGG
rnacentral:rRNA from 1 species